rnacentral:piRNA from 1 species
UAACAUUAUAAGAUGGGAUGUUCGCUU